UAGGGAAUCUUCGGCAAUGGGGGGAACCCUGACCGAGCAACGCCGCGUGAGUGAAGAAGGUUUCGGAUCGUAAAGCUCUGUUGUUAAGGAAGAACGAGUGUGAGAAUGGAAAGUUCAUACUGUGACGGUACUUAACCAGAAAGGGACGGCUAACUACGUGCCAGCAGCCGCGGUAAUACGUAGGUCCCGAGCGUUGUCCGGAUUUAUUGGGCGUAAAGCGAGCGCAGGCGGUUAGAUAAGUCUGAAGUUAAAGGCAGUGGCUCAACCAUUGUAGGCUUUGGAAACUGUUUAACUUGAGUGCAGAAGGGGAGAGUGGAAUUCCAGGUGUAGCGGUGAAAUGCGUAGAUAUAUGGAGGAACACCGGUGGCGAAAGCGGCUCUCUGGUCUGUAACUGACGCUGAGGCUCGAAAGCGUGGGGAGCGAACAGG
rnacentral:rRNA from 1 species